UGAGAUUUAAUUUUUAAUGGCAUUUAAUUAAUUAAGGUUUUUAAUGGAACCGAAUUUAAUAAAUGGCCUCUUAAAAGUGUUAAACUUUUCUAGUGAAUAAACAGCAAGAUUUGUAACCAGAAUUAACAUUUUUAAAGAAGAAUAAGACUUCUGAAUGUAUGAUUUAAAUUGUAUAUUAAUUAUUAAAACUGAUCUUUUCUGCACAGGAAUAGGUUACAUUAUUAAACACCAAAAGUCAUACAUUUCUCAGUUUUAGAAGGAAGGAGAAUGUUAAUACAAUUCAUCAAAUAUGUCAUGAAUUUGGGAGAACUAUAUAUGAAUGAAUAUGAAAAUGUGCAGUGGUCUGGCUCACAGGGAUAUCCACAAGCCAGACCCAGAAAGCCUUUGCUACCACUGAUGAAGAUGCGAAGUCCACAGCCCUCCAGCCAGAAGACCCUUGGUCUACUGCCCCAUCUGUUGGUCUAUGUGACUUGCCUGGUGGAAUGAGCCACUAUCAUCAACUGAGCUUUCUCUGACCAUGACUGCUGCUAUAGUCAAUUUACCACCACAACUGGACAGAGGAGUAUCAAGGAGUCUCCUCUGUGAAUCACCUCAAUUCCUGAGUAGUAAUUCUUGCUACUCAUUGUUAUAAGAUAAUAUUCCUGAAAGAGGUGUGUACAUUUAACCUAUAAUUUGUAUACUCUUUACUGUUUUUUAUAAUGGACAUGGGAAAGACACUAAAGUUACUUUAUAUGGAGCGUUCAUAGCUGUGAUGGUUAAUUUUAUGUGUCAAUAUGGCUAGAUCAUGGACUGCCCAGAGAUUUGACUAAAUAUGAUUUCAGGAUAUGCCUGUGAGGGUGUUUCUGGAUGACAUUGGCAUUUGAAUUGGUGCACUCAGUAACACCGAUGACAUUAUCCAUCAGUUGAGGGUCUGAAUAGAACAAGAAGUGGAAGAAGGAGGAACUCACCCUUUUUGCUUCCUGUCUGACUACUUGAGCUGGGCGUUAGCCUUUUCUUGUCUUUGGACUGAGACUCACACCAUUGGCUUCUCUGCUUUUCAGGCCCUUGGAUUCAGACUGAAUUGACAUCGCCAGGUUUCCUGUAUUUUCAGCUUGCAGGCAGCUGACUGUAGGACUUCUCAGCCUCCUUAAUCAUGUGAGCAAAUUUCACUUAAUAUUGUAAAGAUUGCUUUAGUCAGCUGGCCAGGUUCUUAAAUUCUUGAAAGUAAAAGUGAUGGCAGGAGUUGACACUGAAGUGCUAUAUAACCUGUGACAUGAGAGAAGGACUUUCUCUUUUUUCUAUAUAAUCUUCAUCCAGAAUUACUUUUGGAAUUGGCCAGAAGAAUUUCAAGCACUAUCUUUUAUUGUGAGAAAUACAAUAAUACUAGUUUAAAAAUCAUAUAUUUUGUAUGCUAGAUUGUUGUCUAAAGAUAUCCCAGGACCCCACAAAGACAUAGUUACUGAACAUCGUGUUCAAAUACAGGUUAUAAUUAUCAACAUUAAGGUCCUUUAAUUCCAUAUUCUGUGUAUUUAGAAUCCUCUAUUAGGGAACCAGUAUCACUCAUGAUAAGGGAAACAAAAGGCAGUUCAAAAUGCAUAUAUUUAUUUAUGUUUUAUAUGCUUCAGAUUUGAGAAGUGUAUUCUGUCUUAUAAACCCACAAAGCCUUAGACGAUAGCUCCGUGAUUGGUUCAUCAAUCUAUCAUGUUAGGCAAAGCUUAUUUCCAAAUGUAACAACAAAACACAUGAUUAAAUGUUACAAUAAAUAGG
rnacentral:lncRNA from 1 species